rnacentral:rRNA from 1 species
UCAGCGGGGAAAGAAGACCCUGUUGAGCUUGACUCCAGUCUGGCAUUGUUCGGAGACAUGCCGAGGUGUAGCAUAAGUGGGAGGUGGGGGUUCCUCGGUCGUCGCGGCCGCGAGGUCGCGCGUCGUUCCCCACCGCCGUUGAAAUACCACUACUCGCAUCGUUUCCUUACUUACUCGGUGAUGCGGAGCGCGUGCUGUUCGGUCCGUGGCUACGACCGGCGUCGUAAGUCCGUACGCGCGGCCGCCGCUAUCGCUCGGCGUUUCUCGUCGUCGACGGGCGAGCCCUCGCGCUCGUUUCUCCCAUCGGUUCGUUCGCGCGCUCGUCGCGCGCGUCGUCUUCGGCGUUCGUCGUCGGGGUCGCGCGCGCGUCGUCGCGCGUUCGGCGGGAAAACGGGGCGGGCCGCUCCGCUCGCCGACAGGGCGUCGUCCGGGCGGAGGUCCGCGUACGCGACGCGUCGUCGCGUUCGGGCUCGUUGUGGCCGGCAGUCACGAUCGGUUCCCGGUCGAGUUAAGCGCAAUCGCGGCGCCCUCAGCCGCGGUCGGUCUACGAUCGGCGCGCGCGCGCGCUCUCGAUCGCGGGUUUCGGCUCGCGUCCCGAUAGCGCGCCGCGUCCGGUCGCCCGCUCGUUUCGGUUGGGCGUCGUUGCGCGAUCCGAUCCGAGGACACCGCCAGGUGGGGAGUUUGACUGGGGCGGUACAUCUGUCAAAGAAUAACGCAGGUGUCCUAAGGCCAGCUCAGCGAGGACGGAAACCUCGCGUAGAGCAAAAGGGCAAAAGCUGGCUUGAUCCCGGACGCUCAGUACGCGUAGGGACUGCGAAAGCAUCGGCCUCUCGAUCCUCUCGCGU